rnacentral:rRNA from 1 species
GCACAAGCGGUGGAGCAUGUGGUUCAAUUCGAAGCAACGCGCAGAACCUUACCAGCCCUUGACAUCCCGGUCGCGGAGAGCAGAGACGCACUCCUUCAGUUCGGCUGGACCGGAGACAGGUGCUGCAUGGCUGUCGUCAGCUCGUGUCGUGAGAUGUUGGGUUAAGUCCCGCAACGAGCGCAACCCUCGCCCUUAGUUGCCAUCAUUUAGUUGGGCACUCUAAGGGGACUGCCGGUGAUAAGCCGGAGGAAGGUGGGGAUGACGUCAAGUCCUCAUGGCCCUUACGGGCUGGGCUACACACGUGCUACAAUGGCGGUGACAGAGGGAUGCAAAGGGGCGACCCUUCGCAAAUCUCAAAAAGCCGUCUCAGUUCGGAUUGGGGUCUGCAACUCGACCCCAUGAAGUUGGAAUCGCUAGUAAUCGCAGAUCAGCACGCUGCGGUGAAUACGUUCCCGGGC